AUUAGAUGAUCUCAACUUCUCAACAAUAACUGAAUACUUCAUCAUCAAGCAAAUGAGCAAAAGGAAAAUAAGCUAUGAAUUAUUAUUAUUAUUAUUAUUAUUAUUGAAACAAUAAGCUGUGAAUUAUUUAUUUCUAUUUCUUGUUUUUUACCCUUUUUAGCAAAUAGUGGUUUAACCACCACCCAUGUCAUUGAUGUUAUAAAAUGGCUUCAAGUCUGCAG
rnacentral:lncRNA from 1 species